GCUGAAGGAGGACGAGCACUGAAGCCCGGAACACCUGUUUGGACAAAAGAACAAACGAGCACGAACCACCCAGCCACCGGUUCAUGCCCAUCUUGAGUAAAUACUUUUUUUAAAAAAAGCUCCCCUAUACAUUCUGGAAUUUGGACUCCUAAACUGACGCCUUAGGAUUUCUAAGAAAACCCCCAAGACUGCUGUCGAGAUGCUGCAGAAAAUGAGCACCUCAGAUUCCUACCACCAACGUUUCCAUCCUGCUCUUGCUCCAAGGGCAUCAGCCUGGCAUCCCCGCUCGUCCUGAAGAGAAGCCGUGGCUUUUUGUGAGAGACGGUGGGUGCCAAGGCCCCUUAUGCCCUCCUGCCCUUCACCCAAGACAGCAACCACUUUCUGCCCACGGAGACUCCUCUGGGACCACCAUAUGUUCCUGGGUGUUAAAUGCUGAAAUCCGUUACACAGACCAACAUGGCUGGAUGUGGUUUCCAGGGGUGGUACCCGGAAAGCUUGAUUACAGCGAGUUACAAGUAAGUUCGUUCCCUCUCUAUUAUGCUGCUUCCUUCUGGCAAUGUGAGCAUGGCAAAGUGACAUUUCCAAAGCAAAACCAUCCACGGGAGCAAGGUUACUUUGGAACGUCACAAUCGGCACUUUGCAAUGAACAUUUUGUG